rnacentral:rRNA from 1 species
UACGUAGGGUGCAAGCGUUGUCCGGAAUUAUUGGGCGUAAAGAGCUCGUAGGCGGUCUGUCGCGUCGGCUGUGAAAUCCCGAGGCUCAACCUCGGGUCUGCAGUCGAUACGGGCAAACUGGAGUGUUGCAGGGGAGACUGGAAUUCCUGGUGUAGCGGUGAAAUGCGCAGAUAUCGGGAAGAACACCCGUGGCGAAGGCGGCUCUCUGGGACGGUACGUGACGCUGAGACGCGAAAGCGUGGGGAGCAAACAGG